CUCUCCAUUAGGUGCCCUACAAUGGGUCAAGUGGCACUUCUCCUUUAAAGCCCCAGAGGUUGGUGAGCCUUUCUCUACCUUAGGUCUACUGUUGAUGGACUGGAAGAGGACCAGGGGUGAAGGACCAGCUUGGCACUGGGUAAGUGUUCAGGAAUUUAGCUGCUUGAGAGAAAGGACAUCAGCCCAGCUUCUUUCUGCACCCUAGAGAAGUCUCCCAGACAAUCCUGCUCACAGGGCCAAGGAAGGAGUCUGAGCCCCAGGUGCAUCACGGAAAACCUGGCCCCCGCUCCAACCCUGCUUCCCCAAGGACAUGUUGGUGCUGACAGGACUGGACAGGAUGGAACCCAUGGCACUGCCCCAAACUGGACCACCCGACCCCGUGGACAGCGGAGGUCUGACCAGCUACUCACCGGAUGCUAUGGAUACUGAUCGAUUGCACCAGCCCCACUGUCGGGCAAUGGGUUAGACCUGGGCUGCUGCCCCCUGGCCCGCACGACUGCCCCCCGGACACCCCCUCCCUCCCGCUCCCAAGCCCACGGUUGUGUUCCCCCCUUCCAGAAAAUGCCAUUUCCUUUGGGGGUCAAGGGUGAAGCACUGCAUCAUGGGUGCCAAACCAGUCCCUUGUUACUCCAGGAGGAGAUGGAGGCAUGUGUGUGUGUUUGUGCCUCUUGCAUGAAAGUGAGGGCCGGGACCAGAGCAGGGUGAGAGGGGCUGCCCCUCUUUGGACGGGUAGAGGGUUAUGGAAACAGGGGUCUAGAGCUUUGGACAGUUGCUCCAUGGAAGGACCUAAGAACGGGUGUGAAGUCGCCCUGGGGCCCUUAAUUCUAUAGUCAGUGUGACUUCCUCCUGGCCGGGCCCUUCCGUUGGGAGCUAUCUGCCUAGCUCUGGCUUCAAGAGUACAGACUCCCUCUCCCGCCUGAAGGGGGUGCCCCUAGGGGAGGGGGGUACAGGGACAGCAAUAAGUAGGGGAGUGCGUGUCUAUCUGUAUGCAUGUGUGACUUCCCUAUGUUCUCCAUUCCUCCUGGAUGAGCAGAAUGAGGGGUGGAGAGAACUAGCAGCAAAUGCUAGAGAGGGAAGAUGCAAAGCGAUAUUCCCCCCCCAUCCUACCAACAGAAAUGGCACGGUCUGCUGCCCUUCUCUCCACCUCCCCUCUCGGUCACCUUGGCGGCCUGGGCUCUGUAAGCCCAAAUGCAUCUGUAUGGAAUAAAAUGGAUAUGUUUUUCCUC